rnacentral:sRNA from 1 species
AACAUCAUCCUCUCUU